rnacentral:rRNA from 1 species
CGGAAUAUUGGGGCGUAAGCGCGCGCAGGUGGUUUCUUAAGUCUGAUGUGAAAGCCCACGGCUCAACCGUGGAGGGUCAUUGGAAACUGGGAGACUUGAGUGCAGAAGAGGAAAGUGGAAUUCCAUGUGUAGCGGUGAAAUGCGUAGAGAUAUGGAGGAACACCAGUGGCGAAGGCGACUUUCUGGUCUGUAACUGACACUGAGGCGCGAAAGCGUGGGGAGCAAACAGGAUUAGAUACCCUGGUAGUCCACGCCGUAAGCGAUGAGUGCUAAGUGUUAGAGGGUUUCCGCCCUUUAGUGCUGAAGUUAACGCAUUAACCACUCCGCCUGGGGAG